rnacentral:rRNA from 1 species
UUUGAUGAUUCAUAAUAACUAGCUUAUCGAAUCGCUGGGUUGUACCCGCGAUAAAUCAAUCAAGUUUCUGCCCCAUCAGCUUGAUGGUAGUGUAUUGGACUACCAUGGCUUUUACGGGUAACGGGGGAUUAGGGUUCGACACCGGAGAGGGAGCCUGAGAAACGGCUACCACUUCUACGGAAGGCAGCAGGCGCGUAAAUUACCCAAUCCUAAUUCAGGGAGGUAGUGACAAGAAAUAAUAGACCGGCGUAAGCCGGGUUUACAAUGAGCCUAAUUUACACAGCUUAGUGAGGAUCCAUUGGAGGGCAAGUCUGGUGCCAGCAGCCGCGGUAAUUCCAGCUCCAAUAGCAUAUAUUAAAAUUGCUGCAGUUAAAAAGCUCGUAGUUGGAUUUCUGUGAGACUUGUUUUGUUCGGCCUGCGGGUCGGGCGAAUCACUUUUCACAUCCUUCUGUUAACCUUACACUCCUUCACCGGUGUGUCUGUGGGCUCAGAUACUUUACCUUGAGUAAA